AAGCGAAGGUCCCAGCAGAGGGGAAAGAACUCCAUUGAGGCCUCUCUAACACUAAAAUUUACCUUCGCAAAUUGAAGGCCGAAUCGUAGGAUUCCUAAGCUUUUCUAUGCUUUUGAUUCUUAUAAUCGCCCACAUUUUG
rfam:Daucus carota subsp. sativus cultivar DH1 chromosome 2, whole genome shotgun sequence.